ACAUACAUACAUACAUAUAGCCGGCGAAUUUAAAGAGAAUUUCUAUCUUUUUGAAUUUGUAGUUUUCCCUCAUUCCAUCAUUCCAAAUUCACACACACAUAUAUGUAUCAGCUUGUAGUGGUCGGUUUUGGAAGUAAUUAGGAAUAACAAUAUGGUUUACACAGUGUUUCAAUGGCCCUAUGGAGGCCGCGAGGUCUUCCUCUGUUUUUCCUUCACCGGGUGGACUGACAGGACACGAAUGACUCUGGUGGAGGGUUCUUCCUUGAUUUUCCAACUAAUUUGUGAUCUUCCUCCUGGUUGUUAUCAGUACAAGUUCUGGGUAGACGGUGUAUGGCGAUUCAAUGAUCAACAGCUAUAUGUUCAGGAUGAGUAUGAAAGCAUUAAUAAUGUUAUUCUUGUAAAAGAAAUUAUCAUGGAAAUAGAUAACAGUGGGAAUCCACACAAUGAGGCAUCAUCAUCGCGUGGCAGACAUCAUGAACCAGAGAUUAGUGACAUAGAUAUCUCUCGUCGUCACCUUUGCAUGUAUUUGUCUAGUCAAAAAAUAUAUGAGUUAAUUCCCAACUCAGGCAAGGUCUUUGCAUUGGAUGCAGAAGUGGCUGUGAAAGAGGCAUUCCAUGCUAUGUACAAACAGGGACUUGCUGUUGUGCCAAUCUGGGAUAGCAAUCGCAGACAAAUUUCGGGGAUGCUGACUGCUUCUGAUUUCAUUUUGAUAUUAAUGGAGCUUCACAGAAAUCGUGCAACACUGACUGAUGAACGGCUGGAAGUGCAUACGAUAUCUGCCUGGAAAGAAGGGAAAUCCCAACAAUAUGGAGAAGCGGUUAGGGCUGCACAGCUGAAGUUUGGUAGGCCUUUAAUAUGGGCUGGUCCCGAUGAGUCUCUAAAAGACGUGGCUCUAAUGAUUUUGCAAAAUAAGAUAUCAACUGUUCCCAUUAUAUACUCAACAAUAGAGGAAUCUUGCCCACUGUUGUUACACAUAGCAUGCCUCGGUGGAAUACUAAAAUAUAUAUGCAGGCACUUUAAAAACCAUCUUGAUUGUCUGCCUAUUCUACGACAACCAGUCGGUAGCCUCCCUUUAGGUACAUGGAAAAGUGAAGUUGGAGAAGCACAUGCUCAUCUGUUAGCAUUACGUCCCAGUGAAACUCUUAGUUAUGCUCUUAAUAUAUUGAUAGAAGCUCAAAUAAGUUCAAUUCCAAUUGUUGAUGGUAAAGGCUCCCUUAUAAAUGUAUAUUCCAGAAGGUGCUUGAGCUAGUAGAUGAACAUCAUAGAUAUCAAACAUGUACACGAUCCGAUCCCUUGUAUGUGGUAAUGGAGCGCCUUUCCAAUCCAGUGGUGCGGCGCCUUAUUGUUGUUGAGGCUGGCAGCCAGCAGGUGGAAGGCGUAAUCUCAUUAACUGAUGUAUUUAACUUUAUUUUAGGCUAAAUUUCUUUGUAAAUUCCACCCGUGGCAUUUAGAUUUCAAUCUUGUACUAUUAAUAUAUUUUUCAAUAUUACCAAUCUUUCUUUUCUGGCUGUCCUUUGUUCCUCUUUCUCUUCUUUUGUUUGUUCUCUAACAAGUUUGUUUUUGAAAUGUCCAGAAAUGGUUGAAGUCAGAGAGUUGUCAUAUAUUGAGGGGCAGACAAUUAGCUGAUUUAAUAAUGUGAUUGAACUUCUUGUUGUUGUUUGUUUUUGUGUUUUUUUGUUUUGUUUUGUUUUGUGAUUCAGCGGGCAAGAAUUUUUAUGGACAGCACAGGAAAUACUUCAUCAUAGACUUGAUGCUUGAUUUAGCAAUUGAGAGUAUCGAAUGAAUUUUUUUGUCUUCUU